AAAACAAAAAUGCCAGACCAGGUGACUGAACUGAUCCAACAUCCGCAACAUCCUCGUCCUCGACGCCGCCAAACUCAAGUCAAGUGCCGUGGAUGUGUGUCAAUUAAAAAGUCUCGUCUCAGUGAGUCGCGUAUUUAAUUUGCGGCACAUUCCAGACACACCGACCCACACACACCAUCCAGCUAUUUAAUUAAAAAUGCCACGGACACGGAAUCACACAGAAAUAUUGACCGAUUCGAAAAACCCAACGAUUUCAACUCAAAGUUAAACACAAUAUUGCGGCCAAAACCAGACAGAAGGAUGGAAGCCCGAUGAGCUGAGGGCCUGAGCCUUACAUAUACACGAUGUAGACGAUAUGGACGAUGUAAAGGAAAGCCAACCUAACCCCGAAAAUCAAUAAAAUGAAUCGUUCAAACAUUGCGGUCAAAUGCUUCGACAACAAAAUUUCAAUUUUCAGGGUAAGUUGACAACAAACAACAACCGAACAAAAAUUGUGAAAAUUUCAAAUGCAGAAAAUCGCUUUUUGUGCUCUUGAAUCCACAAAAGACCUUUCAACUUGGCUGCACUUGUCUCGGGGGGAAAUUGAUAUUUUCACCAAUGGGGCCAGGCGGUGGUUGUGGCUGUGGAAGUGGAAGUGUAAUUAAAGCAGCUUAUAAGUAAAAUUUCCUAACCGAAUGUUUGCCUUGGCUGUCAUUUGUAGUUUUGCAAUUUCGCAAUUUCCCCAGCUUGUGUCAUUCAAAUAAACAAACUUGCGAACUUCCGAAGCAGAAAAUUAAUUUGCAAAUUUCUUAGUUGAAUAAAGUGAAAGGUAAAAGGGAAGAAAAGGGGACAUCCGUUUAAGGAGAUCAAUCAACCUUAAUGAAACUGGGAAUUUAUAAAAUCAAAAGGAUUUUCUGGCAAUGAUAUCUUGUAGCUUAGUUAUAGAGUCCUAAACCAGUGCAUGUCCUGUGUUGCAGGACAAAGACAUUCAAUCUGGUAGCCACUCCCUGGGUAUCCUUUGCCAGGACUCCGAAACUGAAGCCAAGGCAGUUUUUAUGAAGCCAACGUGCUGUUGUUCGCGUGCCCGUGUUAUCCUUUGGCCGCCUCCACAUUGUUGUUCCUGUUAUCCUUUGGCAGUUGCUUUAUUUGCCGUACAUCUUUGUUGACUUAAUACACGAGUGUAACUAAAGCGCGAGGAAUUUAAUUUGCCUUCAAAUUGCUUGCAGGACUCGGAAGACAUAGGGGCAACAAAGAUUGUUGGGAGUGGAAAUGGGUUUUGCGAUUUAAACAAUUUAAGGUGUUCUUGGUAUAACAAGCUUGCUAAAAUUUUAAAGCGGAAACUACAGCACAUGCUGACCAAAAUCCUUCAUCCUAAUCCCCAUGGCCUGCUUUCCAUAAACUCAGUUUGUUCAAGGAUUUCCCUGUGGCCUCUCUCUAGAAAGUAUGCAUAUAUGCAUGAGAAAUUUCCCAAAACUAAAAAACAAAACAAGUCAAAUAAGAGAUCAACCGAUUAGAUAAAAAAAAGAGCUGCUCAAAUUCAGUUGUCCUAAUUGAAUUAGAAGGACACUGUAUGCAAAUUGC